rnacentral:rRNA from 1 species
UNUGACUUGAGUGCAGAAGGGGAGAGUGGAAUNCCAUGUGUAGCGGUGAAAUGCGUAGAUAUAUGGAGGAACACCAGUGGCGAAAGCGGCUCUCUGGUCUGUCACUGACGCUGAGGCUCGAAAGCGUGGGUAGCGAACAGGAUUAGAUACCCUGGUAGUCCACGCCGUAAACGAUGAGUGCUAGGUGUUAGGCCCUUUCCGGGGCUUAGUGCCGGAGCUAACGCAAUAAGCACUCCGCCUGGGGAGUACGACCGCAAGGUUGAAACUCAAAGGAAUUGACGGGGGCCCGCACAAGCGGUGGAGCAUGUGGUUUAAUUCGAAGCAACGCGAAGAACCUUACCAGGUCUUGACAUCCCGAUGCUAUUCUUAGAGAUAGGAAGUUACUUCGGUACAUCGGAGACAGGUGGUGCAUGGUUGUCGUCAGCUCGUGUCGUGAGAUGUUGGGUUAAGUCCCGCAACGAGCGCAACCCUUAUUGUUAGUUGCCAUCAUUAAGUUGGGCACUCUAGCGAGACUGCCGGUAAUAAACCGGAGGAAGGUGGGGAUGACGUCAAAUCAUCAUGCCCCUUAUGACCUGGGCUACACACGUGCUACAAUGGUCGGUACAACGAGUUGCGAGCCGGUGACGGCAAGCUAAUCUCUGAAAGCCGAUCUCAGUUCGGAUUGGAGGCUGCAACUCGCCUCCAUGAAGUCGGAAUCGCUAGUAAUCGCGGAUCAGCACGCCGCGGUGAAUACGUUCCCGGGCCUUGUACACANCGCCCGUCACACCACGAGAGUUUGUAACACCNGA